UACGUAGGGUGCGAGCGUUGUCCGGAAUUAUUGGGCGUAAAGGGCUCGUAGGCGGUUUGUCACGUCGGGAGUGAAAACUCAGGGCUUAACCCUGAGCCUGCUUCCGAUACGGGCAGACUAGAGGUAUGCAGGGGGAGAAUGGAAUUCCUGGUGUAGCGGUGAAAUGCGCAGAUAUCAGGAGGAACACCGGUGGCGAAGGCGGUUCUCUGGGCAUUACCUGACGCUGAGGAGCGAAAGUGUGGGGAGCGAACAGG
rnacentral:rRNA from 1 species